AUGAGUAAUGAUGUAAUCUCUAUUUCCUCCUGGAAUGUACGUGGAUUAGGUGAUGACGACAAGUGUAACGCUAUCCUCUCUGAACUGCUAGCGAUCAAUCCUCACGUGGCCCUCUUGCAAGAAACCAAACUAGAAUCCUACACCAACACCAAGCUCCGCUCUUUUCUCCCCUUCCACCUCGACCAAGCUUUCUCUCUGCCCGCCAUUGGCACGGCCGGCGGCACCAUUACCGCCGUUAACUCCUCCUCCCUUCAGGUCAGCUCGCAUUCACACAAAGCUUUCUCCUCCACCGUAACUCUAAUAUCAACUGCAUGUGCCUCCAACAUCGCCAUCACCAACAUCUACGCUCCUUCUACACGUGCCCUCAAGCAAUCUUUCCUAGAUGAGCUCCUCUCCAUCGCGCAACCUGACCAGGUGCCUUGGCUAAUCGUCGGCGACUUCAACCUCCUCCGCUUUCCCUCAGACAAAAACAAAUCCUCCUUUCGACAAUCAGAAGCUAACGCCUUUAACCAAGUGAUCCACAACUUAGCUCUCAUUGAGCUGCCUCUUCUCGACCGACAAUUUACGUGGACCAACAACCGCGCCUCGCCCCCUCUGGAAAGGAUCGAUUGGGCCUUUUUUAACUUAGCAUGGGCAGAUGCGUUCCCCAACACCUCUCUGUCCUCCCUCACACGUUUCACCUCUGACCAUGUACCGCUGCUAGUG
rnacentral:rRNA from 1 species